rnacentral:misc_RNA from 1 species
UAAUAAGUGUUUUAUGCACUUUUUAAAUCCAUAUCCACCUUGUGUGCAAUGUCAGUCGAUCUUCUUCAUGGAGAUCGACCAAACAUCAACCUUUAUCUUUUAACCCUUUGUCUGAAAAAUAUUAUGAAUAAACAAUUCAAAAUA